UACGUAGGGGGCAAGCGUUGUCCGGAUUUAUUGGGCGUAAAGAGCGUGUAGGCGGCCAGGUAGGUCUGCUGUGAAAACUCGAGGCUUAACCUCGAGCUGUCGGCGGAAACCAUCUGGCUAGAGUCCGGAAGAGGAGAAUGGAAUUCCCGGUGUAGCGGUGAAAUGCGCAGAUAUCAGGAAGAACACCUAUGGCGAAGGCAGCACUCUGGGACGGUACUGACGCUGAGACGCGAAAGCGUGGGGAGCGAACAGG
rnacentral:rRNA from 1 species